rnacentral:lncRNA from 1 species
GCAAUGAUUGAUGAGUUAUGAUUUCAGUCGUACAGGUCACUAGAGGCGACUCCAGCUUAUGUGCUAGCAAUGAUGAGCUAUGAUUUCAGUAGUACAUGUCACUAUAGGUGACUCCAACUUAUAUGCUAACCAUGAUUGAUGAGAUAUGUAAUGCGAUGGGCUAGCAUAUGUGAUGAAUAUGUGAUAAGCUAGCAUAUGUGAUGAAUAUGCGAUGAGCUAGCAUAUGUGAUGAAUAUGUGAUGAAAUAUAUAAUGAACUAGUAUAUGUGAUAAGAUAUGGGUAAGUCGUACAGGUCACCAUAGGUGACUCUGACUUGCGUACUAGUAUGAGUUAUUAAUCGCAUGAUUAUUUGACAUUAUUGAUGAGAUGCUGUGUGUGGUAUAUUAUGAUUUUUCUGGAAAUUAUACAGGUGUUGUAGUAAGGGAUUAUAAUGUUUUAUAUGUUUUCUAUUAGUAUUUUACUUACAGGGCCACUCACCCUUGUCUUGUUUUCAUCCUCUAGGUUUUAGUAGCUGAGUUUUCUUAUCA